rnacentral:pre_miRNA from 2 species
GGUGCCUGGGAAGAAGUUGCCCGUGUUAUUUUCGCUUGAUAUGUGCCGAAACAAACAUGGUGCACUUCUUCCUCGGUAUC